rnacentral:tRNA from 1 species
UGGGCCCGUAGCUCAACGGCAGAGCAGCCGGCUCAUAACCGGUUGGUUCUAGGUUCGAAUCCUGGCGGGCCCACCAA